CGUCGCCACGAGCGGCGGCUAGCUCUCGUCCCUCCUGUACCAAUCGUCGUCGGCGGUUGUGGUGGCAUCUCCGACGAGAUUCCCUGGUGAGGUCGUACGUGCUCCACUUCUCCCCGUCGACGGCGAAUGGAGUGCAGUUUCUAAUCCUCGGCGGAUCCAUCGAGGAGGUAGACAAGUAGUAUAGUCUUCUUCUGAGUUGAUCUGAGUCCCUCCCAUCCAGAUCAAAUCUUCGAUGGUGCUGUGUCGUAGAUUCGAGAACCAUGCAUGCACGUGCUGGCCGGCUGAUCGGCAAAACCCCUCGCACAGCAGUGGUGGCGCCACUCGAUCUCCAUCGUCGGCCGGCGUUCCCAGAAGGCGCAAACGGGCGGCGUCAACUCAUCCUCCCAGCCCUCACCCUCAGCGUUCCCAGCCGAGUGGUGCGCGGCCGCUGCGUCAGUGCAAUUUGUUUUCUGGACCGGCGAGAGCUCCGGCAGAUCAACCCCAUUGCGCCACACUGAAAAUUGCAAUAUACUCCACUAUUUUGCUGACAGUCUUAUGCUUCUACAGUGAAGGUACCAAUCAAUGAGCUAACUAGUCCGUACAUGCUGGUGAUGAACAUGUUUCCGGAUGACGCAAACCAAGAAGCCGGAAGAAUGAAAUGAUCUUGAGAGCCAACGUACUGCAGGCCGUUGAGGCUGAGAUGGGCUCUCUCGGGAUGGAUAUGGCUCUUCUUCUCUCUUGACGAGUAAAAAUUAAGAAGACACCACUAGGUGAUGAAUUUCGAUUUUUGCGAGUUUAAAGAAGACAAGGACUUUGAUGAGUAUAUCUAUGUUCAGAUUUAUCCAGAUUUAUUGAUAUAAUUAUAAUUAAGAAUACAUAUAACUAUGCUAGAUUUCUAGUUUGAUGAACAUAAAAACUGUAUAUAAGGUUGCGUUUAGUUCCUGAAAAAAGUUGGAAGUUUGGGAAAAGUUAAAAGUUUGAAAAAAAAAGUUGGAAGUU